GCACGAGCUAGACCGGGGAGGUCGGCGUUCCCUGUAACCAGAAAUCGUCGAUAUGCUGGGGUCGAAGUCGAGGGGCGGUGCGUGAGGUGGCGAGGUGAUCCACCCGCGGACGAUGAGGUUUCGUCCCCAGGGGCUGGAGGUGAUGUAAGCGUGUGGCUGGAGAGCCACGCGCGCAUCUUUGCUGUGGGGACCGGGUCAGGCCCGGAAGGGGGCAGCCCCACCACAGACUGCCAGCGCUCUGGGGGUAGCGAAGCUGAGAAAGCGGGUGGGCAAUCAUCUGCCGCCCCGCGCAUCCACCCGAGACGCGCUCGUGC
rnacentral:SRP_RNA from 1 species